CUUCCUUUAUUUUCUGGCCCUUUUCUACUAUGUUCCAUCUUUUCUUAUUCCAUACCCUUUCCCUAACAUGUCAAAUAAUGAGACUAAAAACAAUUCUAUUUAAUUUUUGACAGCUUGUUUUACUCAAAAAACUUUGAAGAGUAAAAGAGGAUGGGUUUACAUGUUAUGUUUCCUGAAAAAAAAAAUGUGUUCUCUUGAAUUUUCCAGUGAUACCCUUUUUUAUUUUUUUGGGAGCUUAAGUUUUACUAGAUUUUUUGUGCACAGAAAUAAUCGAAGUUCACAAUUUUAGGCUAGGGUAUUUCUGUCAGCACCAGCAAACCUGGCAUUGUUGGACUUCUUACAGGGGGGCCAGAAGCUGCAGUCUGUUCUCCCUCAGUACUCCUCUAUCUUUGAGUAAACCCCACUGCUUCCUUGAUAACCUGCCCCUCCACACUCCUCCUGUUUAUUUAUAUUUUCAUGUAUUCAUUCUAUCAACAAACAUUUUUGAAGAGACUUUUAUGUGCCAAGUACAGUGCUAAACAGAUGAGAAAUAACAGGCAUAGUCUUGAAGUUAGCUAAAGGAGCGAAUAGACUCAUGGAGAGAAAGCCAACUGUUCCACUUUAGUGCAGAGUUGUUAAAGGAUAUAACGGGGUAAUUAAGUGACACCACAGGGACUUUUAGGGGAUGCCCAACUUAGUGUUGUGGGGUUGAGGGGAGACUUCCCUAAAAAGUAACACUUGAGGUUGAGGGCUGUUAGCAGAAGUAGGAGAAAGCCAGGCAACUAGGGAUAUUUCCUUCUAACUUCUAUCUCCUCCCAUGCACGGAUUAUUCUGGUCUUGGCUGAGAGACUUCUCUUCCUAAUGUUCUGCAGUCAUCCUGGCUGACUUCAACAUCCAUGCAGAAGGCCCAACCAACACCCAAACUUCUAUUUCACCAUUUCCUCAACACCAGUGACCUUUGCCUGUUUUCUCUAUCAAAAUAUGAACAUGCCAAUGGCAAACCCUUUUUCAGCCAAAAUGUAUUAGGAUUUAUGUAAUUGAAUUCUCUGAAUAUUAAGCUAUGUUUAUUUUCCUUCUCUGCCCCCCCCAAAUUAACUUUUCUGAUUUUUCUUAUACCAUUAAAUUUCUUCAUCUCAGAAUCUCUGCUUUUAGAGGGAGAGGAUCUCUUACUUCUUUGCCCAGUCCUUAAAUGUUUCUUAUGCUUAGAAAUCUAUUAUACUUCUUCCAACUCACUCUACAUAUUUUCCAGAGAAUGGAUCAGUAGUGCUCUACAUGCUGACAUCUUCCAAAUAUUUAUUUAUAGCUGGGAUUCCUCCCUUGAAUUGUCAACCUCUAAUUAUAUAAAUUGCUUGGGUAUUUCUCUUGCACAUAUCACUGGUGACUUAGAGACAAUUUGUCUAACUUGAACUCAUAAUCUUCUUCCCUUCCCAACUUUGUUAUACCUUACUUUACAUCCUCAGUUGUUCCCUUUCUCUGAAAGAUGUCACUAUUGACCUUGUAGUUCAAUUCGGAAAUAUAUAACCUUUUCUCCCAAUACUCAUAUGGAAUUAAUCAUCAAGUUCUCCCAGGACUUGCCUAUUAAUAUAUCUAGAGGCCAGCUACUUCUCAGCAGUCCUGGCACUACUCUUUUAGUUUGAGUAACCACCCCUUUUUGUUAGUUUUGUGUCAUUCUAUUUGUAACAGGUCCAUUUUUGUUCCCAUUUAUUCUUUACCUUUCUUGUAAGAUCAUUACAGUUCCCCACAACAUUAACCUCAGCCUUGGCGAUUUGGCUAUCUUUGGUUACUGUAAAGAGAAUUGGUAUAUAUGGUUUUAAAUUAGAAACUUGCUAUCCCAUGACUUAGCCAUAGAGUUACCUUUUUAUUGUAAGGUAAAACAUAGAUGCAGAAAACACAGACACAGAUACAGAAAACAAAAUAUAAUAAGUAUGUGACUAAGAAAAAAAAACAUUUGUAAAAAAAAACCGAGAUCAAGAAAUAGAAUUAGACUAGGGACUUGAGGCCAUGAGAAGGUGGCUGUCUGCAAGCCAGGAAGAAAGAUCUCACCAGAAACCAACUGUGCUGGCACUUUAAUCGUGGACUUUGAGCCUCCAGAACUGUGAGAAAAUAAAUUUCUGUUGUUUAAGCCACCCAGACUGAAGCAUUCAGCUAUGGCAGCCCAAGCAGAUUGACACACAUGGGCGGGUAGGUAACCAAAGCAGACUGUAUGACUGUAUUAGAGUAUAGGGACAUUGAGGGAGAUACAUGAACUCUAUUUUUCUGGGCCAACCAGCUUUAAGAAUCAAACUCUGGAACUACUAGAAGCCACUAUUCCUGGCACAUAGAAAAACCUGCUAAUGUAUAAUAAAUAUAUCAAAGCUGAGGGAUGGUGAUGAGUGGAUGAGGGAUAGUGAUGAGUGGAUGAGGGAGGUGAGGAGGAGGAGAGACAGAGAGAGAAGCAGAUGCAUUGUUUGAAAUUCCAGAUGCAGUCAUGUCAGAAGCCACAAUGCCCACUGGGUUUCUUAGUUACGCGAGGCAAUAAAUCCCCUUCCCUUCUCUGCUUCCUUCUUUAAAUUUAAUGAUUCUUUCUUCUUAUACAUAAUGAUUCUGUUUUAAUGAGGUCUUCCUCAUAUACCCUCAGUAAGAACAUGAGUGAAGGCAGAAAAUGAGCUCACAAGAGCAAGAGCAGUAGGCAGCUAUUUGAGAAGGGUAGGUAAGCAGGCUUCAGAACAUGCCCUUACAUGGUAUUUAGAUUACUGAAACAAGGGGAGAGAAUGGUGAGUGGGUAAAAAGAAAUCAAAGAUUCAACUAAGAUCAGACUUUAUGUCUACAAAAGAUCAUUUCUGGUAGUUCUCCAAAUACAUAUCAGUAUUAUUUAUUUAAAUUACUUGAAACCCACUUCUUUAGGCAUUGUUAUUAAAGAGAAAAAGCUCCUUUGUCAGCAUUCUUUACACCAUUAAUAACCUUCCAUACCCUGUUAUACUCUCCCUUGGUUAAGGCCACUAAAUAAUUGCUUUAUUUGCAUAUUUGUACCAUGUCCACCUCAUUAUGGAUAAUCAAUGCACCUUAUUAAUAGCAUCAGUAUCAAAAAAGAGAGAAAAAUCAUAUAAUUUACCAAUGACAAAACAAAUUUACCAAGAUCUGUGGUAAUUUCCUUCUAAUUCCUAAGUCAAAGCACUGACUUUGAGACAGUGCAUAUGGUUUUUAGACCUCUACAGGAGACAAGAAAUUAUAAAAUUCACAGGCAAAUUGUGGCUACUGCACUAGCUAACAUUUAAUCUGUGAUGACUACAUACUCCUCGUGACUUUAAGAGCUUUAAGUAUUUUAACUCAUUUAAUUCUUAGAACAUUGCUAUGAGUUCUGUAAUACUAUUGUUGUUUACCGAAGAGGAAACUGAGGCACAGAAAGCCCAAGCUCUUGCACAAGGAUCAGAAGGGGGUAUAACCAGAAUUUGUUUCUCAGCAUCCUGACCAACAAUUAUUUUACCUACUAAACAGGGAAGCCUUUCAAAUAUAAUCCAGGGUAUCCGCUUCAUUUUACAACUAAAGAAAUGAAGGCUGGUUUCUGCUGGUCUAGACAUCUGGGUUCCAAAAGAAGAAUGCAUCUCCCAGGAGACAUGACAAUGAUUCCAUUCAACAGGAAGUUGAGACUGCCACCUGAACACUUUGGGCUCCUCAUGCCUCUGAAUCAACGGGCAAAGAAGAGAGUUAUAGAUCCUAACCACCCAGGAGAAAUUCGGUGGCCACUACACAAACAGACUUUUCUGACUCUGCGGCCAGGUGUUUGUAUUUAACUCCACGGUGAGGAGACUCAUCUUCUGACGGACCUAACCUAUACCAUCAAGCUCCAGCACCACAAGCAAAGACAAAAACCUUGCGGAAACUAUUUAACUAACUCCCACAAUUGCAUAAGGAUCUAAAUGAAAAUAUUUCUGCAGUGAACCAGUUCUAUUGUUUUAAAUAUCACCCUUAUUAAAGAGAGCUUUGACACUUUU
rnacentral:lncRNA from 1 species